GCCGCCAGAAGCGCUGAAGCUCCGAGGGCACAGCGCGGGUGGCAGGGAGCGGGUCGGGGCUGCUCGGUGCCCUGCAGGACACGGCAGGACACGGACCAGAGCAGCAACUCGGGGGCCCCUGGAUGUCAUCAUCUCUAUCUAGGAAGAAAGUAAUUGUGUACAUUUUUUAAACAUAAUUGCUUUUGAAAUAAAUACCUCAGAAAAUAUUUGCAGAAUGCUUGAAACCUGGUGUGGAGCAAUGGAACGUUUCAUCGUGGAAGUAACCUGAAGCCUUCCUGUUUUCAGAAGCUGUUUCCAGCCCAGCAGGAAGAACAGAGGUGCCCAGGAGGCAGGGAAGAGUGCACACAACCUGCUGUACUUUCAGUACCAACAUGAAAGGGAUUUUCUGUAAACAAAAGCCACUUCAUUGUUUUUUUCAAACUACUUCUUGAAAGACCCAUUGCUGGAGGCCUUAAAUGAAAAGAAAAGGCAGCUGACAGCCGUGAAGCCAUCCUGUUGGUGAGGCAGGUGCUGGCUGCACCAUGCCCGGUGUCCCCUGGUCCCAGCACCCCUCGUUCCAUCUGUCCCUGUGUCCCUGUGUUCAGGCACAGGGGACGUGUGGCACAGGCACUGGGCAGUGUGGCCGAGGAGGGACGUGAGGGAUGGGGAGGGUCACAGCUCCCUGAGGCCAGGUGACCAUUAAAUACUGGCCAUUAAACAGGAGCAGUGUAGAAGCUAGGUUUCUCAGGACACCAGGAAACCUGCUGGCUGGAUUUGGUCUUCUUGAAAGAGAUUUCUGACUAGUUUGUUCAUGAAACAAGAUGCAGUAGAAUCACAUAGAUUCACUGAGGCUGGAAAAGACCUUUAAGGUGCUCAGGUUCCCGGUGGUGGGGCCAUUACACAGGGUGAGCUACUUCAGUCUGUGGGACAGUGACCAGCCACUUCUUACUCAGGGCUCUACCAAGCCACAGGUCAAUUUUACACUGGUGCAAUUGUUCAGGCCAUCCCCUGCCAUGGGCAAGGCUGGCUCCAGCAGGGCAGCAUCCUGAACAGGGCAGGAAACCCCCUGUCAGCUGAGCUCUGCCUAGGAAGGACAGGAUACAUCGCAGGACACCUUUGACAGCUCUUGUGAUUCCUGUCACAAACACGUUACUUGGCUGCGGGGUUUCUCUGUGCUGCCUUCCCGAUCCUUGGCACUUUGUACACCUGCAUCAAGAUCUUUAUCUUUCAGCAAACAAGCCUGCAGCAAGGGAAUAAAUUCCUGACUAUGACCUUUGGGUGCUCAGAUUUUUUUUCACCUAUGAACAAAACAGUAAAAGGUGGAUUUUUACCCCAAAAUAACUCUUAUCUCUGUUGCUUUAUUAAGCCCUUUUGU